rnacentral:rRNA from 1 species
UGCGCGAAGCGUGAUGGGGCCACCCCGAGUGCCGUCCGCUGAGGACGGCUUUUCUCUGAUGUAAACAGCCGGAGGAAUAGGAGGAGGGCAAGCCUGGUGUCAGCACCCGCGGUAAA